rnacentral:misc_RNA from 1 species
GAUGAAGAACGUAGCGAAAUGCGAUAAGUAAUGCGAAUUGCAGAAUUUCCGUGAGUCAUCGAAUCUUUGAACGCACAUUGCGCCCACUGGUAUUCCGGUGGGCAUGCCUGUUCGAGCGUCAUUAUCCUCCCUCAAACCCCGGGUUUGGUGUUGGACCCAAGUUGUGUGAACAACUGGUCUUAAAGACAAUGACGGCGUCCGUGGGACCCUCGGUGCAACGAGCUUUUAGGAGCACGCAUCGAGUUGCAAGGACCUUCCGGGCCGGUCUCCUUUACUAUUUUACAAGGUUGACCUCGGAUCAGGUAGGAAUACCCGCUGAACAUAAGCAUAUCAAUAAGCGGAGGA